UGCAGUCGYACGAUGAUGCCCAGCUUGCUGGGUGGAUUAGUGGCGAACGGGUGAGUAACACGUGAGUAACCUGCCCCUGACUCUGGGAUAAGCGUUGGAAACGACGUCUAAUACUGGAUAUGAUCACUGGCCGCAUGGUCUGGUGGUGGAAAGAUUUUUUGGUUGGGGAUGGACUCGCGGCCUAUCAGCUUGUUGGUGAGGUAAUGGCUCACCAAGGCGACGACGGGUAGCCGGCCUGAGAGGGUGACCGGCCACACUGGGACUGAGACACGGCCCAGACUCCUACGGGAGGCAGCAGUGGGGAAUAUUGCACAAUGGGCGAAAGCCUGAUGCAGCAACGCCGCGUGAGGGAUGACGGCCUUCGGGUUGUAAACCUCUUUUAGUAGGGAAGAAGCGAAAGUGACGGUACCUGCAGAAAAAGCACCGGCUAACUACGUGCCAGCAGCCGCGGUAAUACGUAGGGUGCAAGCGUUGUCCGGAAUUAUUGGGCGUAAAGAGCUCGUAGGCGGUUUGUCGCGUCUGCUGUGAAAUCCCGAGGCUCAACCUCGGGCUUGCAGUGGGUACGGGCAGACUAGAGUGCGGUAGGGGAGAUUGGAAUUCCUGGUGUAGCGGUGGAAUGCGCAGAUAUCAGGAGGAACACCGAUGGCGAAGGCAGAUCUCUGGGCCGUAACUGACGCUGAGGAGCGAAAGCAUGGGGAGCGAACAGGAUUAGAUACCCUGGUAGUCCAUGCCGUAAACGUUGGGCGCUAGAUGUAGGGACCUUUCCACGGUUUCUGUGUCGUAGCUAACGCAUUAAGCGCCCCGCCUGGGGGAGUACGGCCGCAAGGCUAAAACUCAAAGGAAUUGACGGGGGGCCCGCACAAGCGCGGAGCAUGCGGAUUAAUUCGAUGCAACG
rnacentral:rRNA from 1 species